AAAAAAGACCAGCCCCCCGCCUAGUUUGGGUGAGCAGGUUUGGGAUUAAUUAUCAGGCAGCAAUCCACAUGCACUUAACAGUUCUGACGUGAGAGGACAAGAAACACAAGCAAAUAUAAAACAUUCAAUUCUAAGAGAAGUUCAUCAGAGACAUCCUUCAGGAUUGUAAGCUGGAUUUUCCUCUACGUGCUUCAGUCUUCUCUACAGAAAGAGCUGCAAACCAGGUCUUUGUUUUGCACUCUUAUUUCAAGCAGAAUGAGUGCUCCUAAACUCCUCUCUCUGGGCUGUAUCUUCUUCCCCUUGCUACUUUUUCAGCAGGCCCGGGCUCAAUUCCCAAGACAGUGUGCCACUGUUGAGGCUUUGAGAAGUGGUAUGUGUUGCCCAGACCUGUCCCCUGUGUCUGGGCCUGGGACAGACCGCUGUGGCUCAUCAUCAGGGAGGGGCAGAUGUGAGGCAGUGACUGCAGACUCCCGGCCCCACAGCCCUCAGUAUCCCCAUGAUGGCAGAGAUGAUCGGGAGGCCUGGCCCUUGCGCUUCUUCAAUAGGACAUGUCACUGCAAUGGCAAUUUCUCAGGACACAACUGUGGGACAUGCCGUCCUGGCUGGAGAGGAGCUGCCUGUGACCAGAGGGUUCUCAUAGGUAAGUGGAGAUAUGAAUGAGUUCAUAAGUCCUGCAUGAGACUCAAGGCUCUUAAUAAAAUCUUAAAUCAUUUGAGCUGGAGGAAUACCUGGAAAUCAUAUAGCUC
rnacentral:sRNA from 1 species